UACGUAGGGUGCGAGCGUUAAUCGGAAUUACUGGGCGUAAAGCGUGCGCAGGCGGUUCGCAAAGUCUGAUGUGAAAGCCCCGGGCUCAACCUGGGAAUUGCAUUGGAAACUGACGAGCUUGAGUGUGGCUGAGGGGGGUGGAAUUCCACGUGUAGCAGUGAAAUGCGUAGAGAUGUGGAGGAACACCGAUGGCGAAGGCAGCCCCCUGGGCUAACACUGACGCUCAGGCACGAAAGCGUGGGGAGCAAACAGG
rnacentral:rRNA from 1 species